rnacentral:rRNA from 1 species
GGUUAAGUGAAUAAGGGCGCACGGUGGAUGCCUUGGCACUAGGAGCCGAUGAAGGACGGGACUAACACCGAUAUGCUUUGGGGAGCUGUACGUAAGCUAUGAUCCAGAGAUUUCCGAAUGGGGGAACCCAGCAUCUUUAAUAGGAUGUUACGAUUGUGUGAAUACAUAGCACAUUCGAGGUAGACGCAGAGAACUGAAACAUCUAAGUACCUGCAGGAAGAGAAAGAAAAUUCGAUUCCCUGAGUAGCGGCGAGCGAAACGGGAAAAGCCCAAACCAGCAAGCUUGCUUGUUGGGGUUGUAGGACUCCAAUAUGGUAGUUCUUUCAGAUAGUCGAAUGACUUGGAAAAGUCAGUCAAAGAGGGUAAAAACCCCGUAGACGAAAUGUGGAAGACACCUAGGAGGAUCCUGAGUACGGCGGAACACGAGAAAUUCCGUCGGAAUCCGGGAGGACCAUCUCCCAAGGCUAAAUACUCCCUAGUGACCGAUAGUGAACCAGUACCGUGAGGGAAAGGUGAAAAGCACCCCGGAAGGGGAGUGAAAUAGAACCUGAAACCGUGUGCCUACAACAAGUCAAAGCCCGUUAAUGGGUGAUGGCGUGCCUUUUGUAGAAUGAACCGGCGAGUUACGAUUGCAUGCGAGGUUAAGUUGAAGAGACGGAGCCGCAGCGAAAGCGAGUCUGAAUAGGGCGUUUGAGUAUGUAGUCGUAGACCCGAAACCAUGUGAUCUACCCAUGUCCAGGUUGAAGGUGCGGUAAAACGCACUGGAGGACCGAACCCACGUACGUUGAAAAGUGCGGGGAUGAGGUGUGGGUAGCGGAGAAAUUCCAAACGAACUUGGAGAUAGCUGGUUCUCUCCGAAAUAGCUUUAGGGCUAGCCUCGGAAUUGAGAAUGAUGGAGGUAGAGCACUGUUUGGACUAGGGGCCCAUCUCGGGUUACCGAAUUCAGAUAAACUCCGAAUGCCAUUCAUUCAUAUCCGGGAGUCAGACUGUGAGUGAUAAGAUCCAUAGUCGAAAGGGAAACAGCCCAGACCACCAGCUAAGGUCCCAAAAUAUAUGUUAAGUGGAAAAGGAUGUGGGGUUGCACAGACAACUAGGAUGUUGGCUUAGAAGCAGCCAUCAUUUAAAGAGUGCGUAAUAGCUCACUAGUCGAGUGACCCUGCGCCGAAAAUGUACCGGGGCUAAACAUAUUACCGAAGCUGUGGAGUACACCUUUAGGUGUAUUGGUAGGAGAGCGUUCUAAGGGCGUUGAAGGCAGAUCGUGAGGACUGCUGGAGCGCUUAGAAGUGAGAAUGCCGGUAUGAGUAGCGAAAGACAGGUGAGAAUCCUGUCCACCGAAUGACUAAGGUUUCCUGGGGAAGGCUCGUCCGCCCAGGGUUAGUCGGGACCUAAGCCGAGGCCGACAGGCGUAGGCGAUGGAUAACAGGUUGAUAUUCCUGUACCCGUUGUUUUUGUUUGAGCAAUGGAGGGACGCAGGAGGCUAAGGAAUGCAGACGAUCGGAAAUGUCUGUCCAAGCAGUAAGUCUGAAGAGGAGUCAAAUGCUUCUUUUCUUAAGGACAAGCUGUGAUGGGGAGGGAAAUAAUAGUACCGAAGUUCCUGAUGUCACACUGCCGAGAAAAGCUUCUAGUGAGAAAACAGCGGCCCGUACCGCAAACCGACACAGGUAGUCGAGGAGAGAAUCCUAAGGUGAGCGAGAGAACUCUCGUUAAGGAACUCGGCAAAAUGACCCCGUAACUUCGGGAGAAGGGGUGCUGAUCAUACGAUCAGCCGCAGUGAAUAGGCCCAAGCGACUGUUUAUCAAAAACACAGGUCUCUGCAAAAUCGUAAGAUGAAGUAUAGGGGCUGACGCCUGCCCGGUGCUGGAAGGUUAAGAGGAGUGCUUAGCGCAAGCGAAGGUACGAAUUGAAGCCCCAGUAAACGGCGGCCGUAACUAUAACGGUCCUAAGGUAGCGAAAUUCCUUGUCGGGUAAGUUCCGACCCGCACGAAAGGCGUAACGAUUUGGGCACUGUCUCAACGAGAGACUCGGUGAAAUUUUAGUACCUGUGAAGAUGCAGGUUACCCGCGACAGGACGGAAAGACCCCAUGGAGCUUUACUGUAGUUUGAUAUUGAGUGUCUGUACCGCAUGUACAGGAUAGGUAGGAGCCGUAGAAAUCGGAACGCUAGUUUCGAUGGAGGCGCUGGUGGGAUACUACCCCUGCGUUAUGGC